GAUGAAGAACGCAGCGAAAUGCGAUACGUAAUGUGAAUUCCAGAAUUCAGUGAAUCAUCGAGUCUUUGAACGCACAUUGCGCCCCCUGGUAUUCCGGGGGGCAUGCCUGUCCGAGCGUCAUUGCUGCCCUCAAGCACGGCUUGUGUGUUGGGCCUCCGUCCUCCUCCCGGGGGACGGGCCCGAAAGGCAGCGGCGGCACCGCGUCCGGUCCUCGAGCGUAUGGGGCUUCGUCACCCGCUCUUGUAGGCCCGGCCGGCGCUUGCCGACACAUCAAUCUUUUUUCCAGGUUGACCUCGGAUCAGGUAGGGAUACCCGCUGAACUUAAGCAUAUCAAUAAGCGGAGGA
rnacentral:misc_RNA from 1 species